AUGGAUGAGGUCACACAAGCCGUUGAAAACCUGAAAAGGGAAUGGAGCCGAGUAGUUGCACAGCUUGAGGUGUGCAUUGCUGCUAUUGAAUCCUGUGUGAAGCUGGGCAAGGGGACAGAAGAAGCGAGCUCUCUUCCUAGGUUGAACGGUUCUGCACUGGAUGCACUGCAAUUGCUCAAUGCACUGCAGUGCAGGCUUGAUCUUCUAGCAGAGCAGCUACCCACUUUUGAAGAAGUUCAGUCUGUCCAGGCAACCUUAGGGUCAUGGAAGGAAAAAUAUCAGAGGACAAAGGCUGGGAUGACCUCCGCUGCAGAAAGUACUACUGACAGCCUCCGUCGGUCUCGGCAGUUGAUGGUUCAGGAAGUGGGAAGAAGUGCUAAUACCUUGUCAACUUUUGAUGGAUUGCCAAGUGUUCUCCGAAAGGCUGAAGGUGAAUAUCAAGGGCACCGCUCUCUGCUGAUGCGCACCCGUGGUUUGCUCUCCACGAUGCAACGGCAAGAUGUUCUUGAUAGGAUCAUCCUGACUACUGGGUUCCUCGUGUUCUCCUUGGCGGUUCUUUAUGUCGCCUCAAGACGGAUUGGCCUGUUCACACUGCAGAGGAAGCUGGCCGAUGCUAUCAGAUCAGGCUCAGUAUCAGCUGGAGACAUCUUGGGUAAAGUGCAGGAAGGACCUGCCCCAACAACAAAUGCUCCUCCCAAUUUCCAUGUAUGA
rnacentral:rRNA from 1 species